CCUUCCUCUUCUGCCAUCGCCAUGCCGCGACCACCUCCUCCGCUGCUGGGACUUCCUCCUCCACAGCCGCUGCCCUGCCACGGUUUCCUCCUCCACAGCCGCCACUGCCAGUGCCAUGGCCAGCUCCGCCGGUAGUGGAGAGAAAAGGGGAGAAGAUGAGCCUGCGAGCCUACGAGAUUAGACGAGAGGAUCAAUUGAUCCAUCCCAAUGUGAAAAGAUAAAUUUACCCCUAUAAGAGGCAGAUAAGUUGCGGUGCCACCUCCACAAAACACCGGUACCGAUCGGUACCACCCCUCUCAUGUCUGUCCGAUCUGAACACGUGUACGACCCAAAUUUGGUACCGCUAGGUACCAGUACAAUAUGUGGGACUUAAAAAAAUCUCAUAAUUUAAACCAUGUAACUUUUUUAUAUAAAACUAACUAUCAAGUCCUAUGCAUAUAUAGGUAAAUAAGCCAUGAUCCAUUUCAUAUGUGAAUUUUACUAUGUGACCAUUGCCGAGAGUAAGUAUCAAAUUGAGGAGUUGUGUGACUGAAAUUUGCCGAGAGUAA
rnacentral:lncRNA from 1 species